rnacentral:rRNA from 1 species
CAGCCGCCACGGGAAUACGUAGGGUGCGAGCGUUAAUCGGAAUUACUGGGCGUAAAGCGUGCGCAGGCGGUUCGUUAAGACAGAUGUGAAAUCCCCGGGCUUAACCUGGGAACUGCAUUUGUGACUGGCGAGCUAGAGUAUGGCAGAGGGGGGUAGAAUUCCACGUGUAGCAGUGAAAUGCGUAGAGAUGUGGAGGAAUACCGAUGGCGAAGGCAGCCCCCUGGGCCAAUACUGACGCUCAUGCACGAAAGCGUGGGGAGCAAACAGGAUUAGAUACACCUGUAGUCCCUGUCUCUUAUAC